ensembl:lncRNA LOC108351955 uncharacterized LOC108351955
CAGCUCCAUCGAUCCAAGCCGUGGAACCAGCAGCUGAAAAAAAAAAGCGAGAAGGGAAUCGAUCUGAGGGAAACGGCAGCUGCUGAGGAUUAGAGCCCGAGGUCCACGCGCUGUCCAACGGCCACCCCUCCCCUGCGUCAGCCUGGCCCUGCAGUCUCAGGCUGGCCCCCGAGGGAGAGUCACAAGCGCAGCUUCCCUUGAGGGUUCAGGUUGCUGCUCAGCCUGCCCUGGCUGCAAUACCAGGUCGGGCCCCUGGUGAGGGGUACCCCAGUGUGUAAUCCCCCUGCACACCUGGUCCUAGCCAUGCAUGGUGCUCUGACUAGAUGCUCCCAGCCUUUCAGCAAAGUGGCUUCCCAGGGUCCCACAGCUGGGUUUCCCCACAAGCUUCCUUCCCGAGAGUCUUAGGUCAGCAGGUUCCCAAAGCUGGGAAGACCCCUGGGGACAGGUUCAAGUGCUGCUUUUGGCUGGGACACAGCAGAAGUACAGUUGGUACUGGAAGCAGGCGCUGAGUUCCUAUGGAACAAUCCAGGUUACUUCAGUUUGGGGCUCUGCCAAGAAAGUGGGAGCUGCCCCCAAGUCUCCCCCCAGCCCUCACCACUCCCCUGAUAUCCUGUCUGAAUUCCUUGCUAUCUGCUGAGCUCUCAGGGUCAAGCUGUCUCCACCACUCUCACCAUUGCCCGGUGGCCAGCUGUCUCUAAUUGUCCGCAAGUCCCUACGAUCCAGUCUCCCAGACCUCCUGGAAUCAGGUCAUGCUCAGUGGGGACCCCCGUCCUCCCAUCCCAUCUCUUGGCGGUUUCCACUCACUCUCCCCACCCGCAGCCCCUUCUGGCCCCCUUUCUAUUCCUCCAUACCCCCUUUGCCUCUGGUCCUGUCCCC